rnacentral:lncRNA from 1 species
AAUCUCCUUAGUGACAAUCAUGUCCAAAUCUCCUUAUUGACAAUCAUGUCUUAAUCUCCUUAUUGAUAAUCAUCCCAAAUCUCCUUAUUGACACUCAUGGCCGACCUCCUUAUUGACAAUCAUGUCCAAAUCUCCUUAUUGACAAUUAUGUCCAAAUGUCCUUAUUCAUAAUCAUCCCGAAUCUCCUUAUUGACAAUCGGGGCCGAAUUUCCUUAUUGACAAUCGGGACCGAAUCUCCAUAUUGACAAUAAUGUCCAAAUCUCCUUAUUGAUAAGCAUGACCGAAUUUCCUUAUUGACAAUUAUGUCCGAAUCUCUUUAUUGUAAAUCAUGACCGAAUAUCGUAGUUGACAAUCAUGACCGACCUCAUUAUUCAUAAUCAUGUUCAAAUUUCCUUAUUAAUAAUCAUGACCAAAUUUCCUUAUCUCUGUGUUAUCAACAAUCAUGUCCGAAUCUCCUUAUUGAUAAUCAUUCAACUUAUUUAAUACGUAUUGAUUUUUCUACUUAUUUUCACACUGUCUAACAUAUUCAUAUACGUAAAACCAACAUUUUCUUUAUCUUCCUUAUUGAGAAUCGGGAUCGAAUCUUCUUAUUGUCAAUCCGGACCGAAUUUCCCUAUUGACAAACAUGACUGAAUUUCCUUAUUGACAAUCAUGUCUUAAUCUCCUUAUCGAUAAUCAUCCCAAAUCUCCUUAUGGACACUCAUGGCCGACCUCCUUAUUGACAAUCAUGUCCAAAUCUCCUUAUU